AGACCAGUAGCUCAGUUGGCAGAGCGCACGCCUGAUACGCGUGAGGCCGAGUGUUCGAUUCACUCCUGGUCGACCA
rnacentral:tRNA from 1 species